rnacentral:rRNA from 1 species
UGGGGAAUAUUGGACAAUGUAGGAAACUCUGAUCCAGCAAUUCUGUGUGUGUGAAGAAGGUUUUAGGACUGUAAAACACUUUUAGUAGGGAAGAAAAAAAUGACGGUACCUACAGAAGAAGCAACGGCUAAAUACGUGCCAGCAGCCGCGGUAAUACGUAUGUUGCGAGCGUUAUCCGGAAUUAUUGGGCUUAAAGGGCAUCUAGGCGGUAAGACAAGUUGAAGGUGAAAACCUGUGGCUCAACCAUAGGCUUGCCUACAAAACUGUUGAACUAGAGUACUGGAAAGGUGGGUGGAACUACACGAGUAGAGGUGAAAUUCGUAGAUAUGUGUAGGAAUGCCGAUGAUGAAGAUAACUCACUGGACAGAAACUGACGCUGAAGUGCGAAAGCUAGGGGAGCAAACAGG